rnacentral:rRNA from 1 species
GACGAACGCUGGCGGCGUGCUUAACACAUGCAAGUCGAGCGGUAAGGCCCUUUCGGGGGUACACGAGCGGCGAACGGGUGAGUAACACGUGGGUGACCUGCCCUCAGCUCUGGGAUAAGCCUGGGAAACCGGGUCUAAUACCGGAUAUGACUCCAUGACGCAUGUUGUGGGGUGGAAAGCCUUGUGCGGCUGAGGAUGGGCCCGCGGCCUAUCAGCUUGUGUGGGGUGAUGGCCUACCAAGGCGACGACGGUAGCCGGCCUGAGAGGGCGACCGGCCACACUGGGACUGAGACACGGCCCAGACUCCUACGGGAGGCAGCAGUGGGGAAUCUUGCGCAAUGGGCGAAAGCCUGACGCAGCGACGCCGCGUGAGGGAUGACGGCCUGG